rnacentral:misc_RNA from 1 species
AAGUCGUAACAAGGUUUCCGUAGGUGAACCUGCGGAAGGAUCAUUAUUGAAUAAAUCUGACAUGGUUGUAGCUGGCUCUUCGGGGCAUGUGCUCGCCUGUCACCUUUAUCUUUCCACCUGUGCACACACUGUAGUCCUGGAUACCUCUCGCCGCAAGGCGGAUGCAGAGACUGCUGUUCAGCCUCCGAAAGGGGGAGGUCGGCUAUCUCUGAAUUUCCAGGCCUACGAUUAUCACAUACCCCAAUUGAAUGUUACAGAAUGUUAUCAAAGGGCCUUGUGCCUAUAAACCUAUACAACUUUCAGCAACGGAUCUCUUGGCUCUC